rnacentral:lncRNA from 1 species
UUCAUUCCCGGCCACCAAAAUAACUUUUUCAAAUCAUGAUACAUCUUCGUAGCUCCAGGAUGAAUACUCAAGCCACUACGAUGUCCUUCCUCCAGAAUACUCUUCUUAAGUUCGGUAACAUCCGGAAUACACACCCGAUUACCAAAUUUCANAUACUCUUCUUAAGUUCGGUAACAUCCGGAAUACACACCCGAUUACCAAAUUUCAAAACACCAUUCUCAUCCACUCUGAAUUCA